GCCGAAGUGGUGGAAUUGGUAGACGCGCCGGACUCAAAAUCCGGUGUCCGCGAGGACGUGUGGGUUCGAUUCCCACCUUCGGCA
rnacentral:tRNA from 1 species